UACGUAGGGUGCAAGCGUUAAUCGGAAUUACUGGGCGUAAAGCGUGCGCAGGCGGUUUGUAAGUCUGUCGUGAAAGCCCGGCUCAACCUGGGAACUUGCGAUGGAGACUGCAAGGCUUGAAUCUGGCAGAGGGGGUAGAAGUUCCACGUGUAGCAGUGAAAUGCGUAGAGAUGUGGAGGAACACCGAUGCGAAGGCAGCCCCUGGUCAAGAUUGACGCUCGAUGCACGAAGCGUGGGAGCAAACAG
rnacentral:rRNA from 1 species